UUGUUUUGGCAUGAUGAAAGACAGAUUGUUUAUGUCUUAAUUUUUUUAAUGGUUAUAGGUAUAUAUAUAUACUUGUUUUGCACAUUAUCUUAUGGAUUCAAGAAAAUUGAGCAGCUAAUAUAUUCAAUUAAUGUAGGAAUUUAUUGCAAAAGCAAUCACUCUUCGGGGUGAAGGUGAAAUUAUGAACAUGAUGGAAGUAGCCGACCCUGCUGCAGUCAGUGCAUGCCGCUCGAUUAUUUAUUAGAAAGCAGCUUGCUUCUGAAUUGAAGCAAGAGUUUUUACAUCUGGUGAAAGAGAAUAGGAGCUCGGAGAAGUAUGAGUUCAAUCAGACAAAUAUGGUAAGACGUGCUUUAAAGAACACUGCCCUUGCUUAUCUUGCAUCACUUGAAGAUCAAGAAAUCACCGAGAUUGUGUUGCAUGAAUACAAAACUGCCACAAAUAUGACAGAUCAGUUUUCAGCUCUGGCCGCCAUUGCCCAGUAACCGGGUAAAGCCCGAGAUGAUGCUUUGGAAGAUAUCUACAACCAAUGGCAGAAUGACUACUUGGAGGUUAACAAGUGGUUUGCGCUUCAAUUAUCAUCGGAUAUUCCCGGGAAUGUGGAGAAUGUUUAGAAACUUUUGAGCCAUCAAGCAUUUGAUCUUCAAGAUCCCAACAAGAUACAAAUACUAUGAUAUGUUUUUGGCACUGUCACAUUGUGUACUAAAGGAAAGGAGAUCAUUACAAUGUCUUAAUGCAUUGUGUAUCGACGCUUUUUAGUUGUUGAUUCGUUUCUGCGCCAUCUUACUGCGGGCAAACUGUUCGAGUUGAAAAAAGGAGCUAGAAAACAAAAGCAAUUGAAGAUGCUUCCCCCAAGUUACAAACAUAUUUCGACAGACUAAUUCAGGUAUUUGAUGGACAUGGUGUUGAUGCUGCUUCAUUUACAAAAAGAAACAUUCUUGAGUUUAUCGUUUGAGGACUCUAAUUUCCCGAAUGGGGUAGAGAAAGCCGUUAAAAAUGCUUUUGUCAAAGCUGCUCAUGCAAGUGGAUGGUGAUCUAGAAUGGCAUAUGGAGUACGAGUAUUAUAUUUGUUUGCUGCAAGUGGGAUGAUUUAGAAAUUUUGUGGUGAUCUAGAAUGGCAUAUGGAGUACUAUAUCUGUUCAUUAUAUGGCCUUUAAAAUGGUUUUUUAGUUUUUAAACGAGUGACUUUUAAUUUGUGUAAAUAAUUGUCAAUUCUCAAAUGAAUAUAUUUGUUUUGUAACCUGGGAAGUUAUAACUUUUAUAUGAUAUUCUUAAUGUUUUAUCA